UGGGUCCUCAGCCCAACGGCCCAAAAGGAAGUGAAACCUGCCAACAGCCACCGGAUGAGUUUGGAAGUAUAUCUUGUCCCAGUUGAACCUUGUGUUGACUGUAGCCCAACUGGAGUAAUUUUCAAUGCAGCAAUAGAUAAAGAAUAUACCAGAAUGGAGCUACCACAUGGUCAGGAGGAAGAGACUCACAAAGAAAGAUGAAGGUUGCAGAGAGGUGCUAUGGAAAUAGCACAUGCUAAAGGAGUCUUCUAAGCAGCCCAGAGGCGAUGACAUACCAGUGCCAGCAGAGGAGGAGAACCACGCUUCAGUAUAACAAAAACUUCAAUGAAUCAUGCUCAAUGUGGAAAAGUCGAAUAGACAUGGCUGAGGAUAAAAGAAAAGAACGUACACAUAAUCUCACUACCCAGAGAGAAGCAAUGUUGACAUAUUUCUCUUCCUCAAUGCAUAUUUAUAUAUUGUUGAUAUUUUUA
rnacentral:lncRNA from 1 species